UCAAAAUAUAUUAAAGUACUGUUUUUGUGUGUUUACACAAAUUGAAAUAACCUGGAAGAAGAUUGAUGAUAUUUUUUGAUAGGAUAAAAAGAUUAAUUUGUUUGGGAAAAGAGUAAUAUAUGUUCAAAACCAAGCCGGUAAUAUAAUUGACCUCUUAGACCAAAGAAAACCAAUAAACCAGAGAGUCAGGGAAAUGAGUAUAACUGUAAUCAGCUGUCAAUCAAUCUCUCUCUGUUUCUCGAUCUGGUUGGGGUUUCUAUAGGGUUUAAGCUACGAUGGCUCUCUGAGCUUCUUCUUCAUUUGGAAAUCAUCAUCGCUCUUAGAAGAAGACGACUUUGUCCACCUCAAAGAUUUUGUCAGAAGCUGAAUUUGUGAUCUGAGAUGGCGACAGAGCAGAAAGGGUUAGAGAAGAUCAGGAGAUCCAGCCGAACCAAGUGUCCCCUGGUUUUGUAGGAGCGAUCGAAGAACAAUACAAGAAACUCAGAGAUCACGCCCGAGGCUUAUCCAUAUGUUUGGGGUUCUUAAUACUCUUGUCUAUGGUGGUCUUUUCCUUUGGACCGCUUAUAGGUGGAGGAAGCUUAGGAGAACCGAGGAUCGAGUUCGUGGUCUUCAGACUAAACUUAGGAAACUCGUCCAAGACGAACAAGCAGCAGCCACCAAGUCUGGUCAAGCAUCAAAAAUGACACCUGCUUCUAUAGCUGCGAUGCUCACAGCAUCUACCUCAUUAGAUAAUGAUCAUGCAAUCUCUGUUCUAUCCUCAUUUGCAGCUGAAGAAGCAACAAAGACUUCUAGUCUAUCCAAAUCGGAGAGCGCAGUUCCGGUUUCAGACGCUAAUGCGUUGUUGUCUACUCAUUAGACUCACUACACUAGUUCAUUUAUGUUUUUAGAGUAUUUUCUAAAUACAACAUAUAUAUGUCAUUUUUUUGGGGUAACAUAAAACAUAUGUCAUUUUUGUAAGUGAAUAAUCGAUUAAUAUUUUUUUGUCUAUUAGA